rnacentral:rRNA from 1 species
UACGGACUGUGCAAACGUUAUUCGGAAUCACUGGGCUUAAAGAGUCCGUAGGCGGCAUGUUAGGUGAGGUGUGAAAUCCCACGGCCUAACCGUGGAAUUGCGCUUCAAACCGGCGUGCUUGAGGAAGAUAGAGGUGGGCGGAACUGAUGGUGGAGCGGUGAAAUGCGUUGAUAUCAUCAGGAACACCGGAGGCGAAGGCGGCCCACUGGGUCUUUUCUGACGCUGAGGGACGAAAGCUAGGGGAGCGAACGGG